AUUGAACGCUGGCGGCAGGCCUAACACAUGCAAGUCGAACGAGUGGCGGACGGGUGAGUAAUGUCUGGUAAACUGCCUGAUGGAGGGGGAUAACUACUGGAAACGGUAGCUAAUACCGAAUACCAUCCGAUGAGCCCAGAUGGGAUUAGCUGGUGGGGGGGGUAAAGGCUCACCAAGGCGACGACCCCUCGCUGGUCUGAGAGGAUGACCAGCCACACGGGAACUGGGACACGGUCCAGACUCCUACGGGAGGCAGCAGGGGGGAAUAUUGCACAAGGGGCGCAAGCUUGAUGCAGCCAUGCCUCGUGUAUGACGAAGGCCUUCGGGUUGUAAAGUACGUUCAGCGGGGAGGCGUUACCCGCAGAAGAAGCACCGGCUAACUCCGUGCCAGCAGCCGCGGUAAUUC
rnacentral:rRNA from 1 species